rnacentral:rRNA from 1 species
AUCACCUACGGGGCGCAGCAGUGGGGGAUAUUGCACAAUGGGGGCAACCCUGAUGCAGCGACGCCGCGUGAGCGAUGGAGUACUUCGGUAUGUAAAGCUCUGUCAGCAGGGAAGAGAAUGACGGUACCUGACCAAGAAGCCCCGGCUAACUACGUGCCAGCAGCCGCGGUAAUACGUAGGUGACAAGCGUUGUCCGGAUUUACUGGGUGUAAAGGGCGCGUAGGCGGACUGUCAAGUCAGUCGUGAAAUACCGAAGCUUAACUUCGGGGCUGCGAUUGAAACUGACAGCCUUGAGUAUCG